rnacentral:rRNA from 1 species
GACAGAGGUGCCGAGCGUUAGGCGGAAUCACUGGGCUUAAAGCGUGUGUAGGUGGAUGCCUAAGUACCUUGUGAAGUCCCACGGCUUAACCGUGGAACUGCUUGGUAUACUGGGUGUCUUGAGCCAGCUAGGGGCUACCGGAACAAAUGGUGGAGCGGUGAAAUGCGUAGAUAUCAUUUGGAACGCCAAUGGUGAAAACAGGUAGCUGGGGCUGUGCUGACACUGAGACACGAAAGCCAGGGGAGCGAACGGG